rnacentral:lncRNA from 1 species
UUUCUUCCUCUCCCAUGGCAGCAAGGAAAUUUCCUUUCCUCCUCUUCCAACGCAAGCAAGCAAGGUAGAAGAAGAAAUAGUUUCAUCUUCAAGGAGCAAGGAUUGGUUGCUGUUCUUCUUCCUUUCUUCUAGGACAAUCAAGAGAGAUCUCUGCAAGGAGCUAGCACCUCGGUGAGAUCCUAUUCUCUGAUUUUCAGAUUCUCGUGUGGAUACUUAUAGAGGCUAUACACGUGUGCGGCUACAAGGAGAACCUAUACAACAAUCAUCAGAUUGCGGCGAGCUUCUACCCGCACAAAGGUGAAGAUGAGAUCUUUACUUCUGAUUUUUGUUUUUGAUUUUUGUGAUCAAGUUUUAAUCUUAAUCUCCUCUCCCCUAUGGAUUCAAAGAGAUCUUCUGGAUUACUGAAUCCAGAAUUUUCUUUGAAUUCAACGACCCGUGGCAAGAUUAUGUGAUGAACGACGCCCCGUGCUGAUGAUGGAUGCAAGGAAGAUGUAAGAAAGAUAACUACAUCUUCUUUGAAAGAGUCUCACCUUCGCUCAAGAACUCGUGUUGGCAUGAAGGAGAAGGAGUCUCAUGAUGUGACUCAUCAAGAGGAACAAGCUGACUCAAGUAUAUCAAGUGAUCCUUUGCACAUUCCAAGUGGGUCUAUUACAAGGUCCCAGGCUAAAAGACUUAGAGAAGCUCUGAUUGGACUUGUUCAAAACAUAUGGGUUAGGCAAGCUUCGAGUGGAUCUACAGAUAUAAAGCUAGGCUUGAGCAAUUCACAAGAAGUCAUCAAUAUCAUUCAAGUAGAAUAUGGAAGCUGUUGAUGACACUUGGGCCAAAUCUACCGUAAAUGAAGAAGUCUUGCUGAAUUUCAUACAUGGCUGAUUCAUUUGAACCUGGACUUCAUUAAUUUGAGCUCAACAUGGUGUUUUUAUCUUCAUAUAGGCUGCAUGAAUUUAUAAAGACUUUUCAUCAUUUGAAAGUUCUCAUUAGUUGCUUUGUCUUUUCCAUAAUUGGAGGGAUGUUCCAAGGUAGUUAAUUAAUGCUUUGUGUUUUGCAUGCUUGGAAGGGUGUUCCAAGGUAGUUAAUUAAUGUUUUGUGUUUUCCAUGCUUGGAGGGGUGUUCCAAGACUAGUAUUUAUAUUUGAGGUCAUGUAGAGAAUGAAAAACGAUGAGUUUGUUCUAAAUUUUAGAUUUGAGAGAAGCUUUCUCUUAUGUUCUUCAUUGAACUGCCUAAACCUAUCAAGGAUUGAUCAACUUUGUGGCGUUUCAGCACUUUGGGUCCUUGUUUCAUCAAAUUCAAGGGUACUAGGGGAUCAU